CGGGGCGUAGCGCAGUCUGGUAGCGCGACGGUUUUGGGAACCGUAGGCCCCCGGUUCGAAUCCGGGCGCCCCGA
rnacentral:tRNA from 2 species